rnacentral:rRNA from 1 species
GACGAACGCUGGCGGCGUGCUUAACACAUGCAAGUCGAACGAAGUGGCGAACGGGUGAGUAACGCGUAAUCAACCUGCCCUUCAGAGGGGGACAACAGUUGGAAACGACUGCUAAUACCGCAUACUGAAGGAGGGGAUUGCGUCUGAUUAGCUAGGUGGAGGGGCAACGGCCCACGAAGGCGAUGAUCAGUAGCCUGUCUGGGAGUGUGAACGGCAAAAUUGGGACUUGGACACGGCCCAGACUCCUACGGGAUGCAACAGUGGGGAAUCUUCCGCAAUGGACGAAAAUCUGACGGAGCAACGCCGCGUGAGUGAUGACGGCUUUCGGGUUGUAAAGCUCUGUUAAUCGGGACGCGGUACCGGAAUAGAAAGCCACGGCUAACUACGUGCCAGCAGCCGCGGUAAUAC